GGAUGUAGCUCAGUGUUAGAGCGUGUGCUUAGCAUGCACGAGGUCCUGGGUUCAAUCCCCAGCACCUCCA
rnacentral:tRNA from 1 species